rnacentral:misc_RNA from 1 species
AAGAAAAUUCAGCACUAAGCCACUGACAAUUUUAAAGAUCGAGGGCUAGAAAGAGAGCAGCAGAGCCGAAUGAAGGGAAAAAAAAGUAUGAACAAGGCUGGAGAGAGACAAGGCAUGAAGGAAGAGAAAAGAAAAACAAGCAAGAACAAGGUUGAAAAGAUGAGGCAUGACGGAACGGAAGAGGGGAAAAAAAGAGCUUGAACAAGGCUGUAGAGAGAUGAGGUGAGAAGGAAGAGGAGGUAA